UACGUAGGGGGCAAGCGUUAUCCGGAUUUACUGGGUGUAGAGGGAGUGUAGGCGGCAUCGCAAGUCAGGAGUGAAAGCCCGGGGCUUAACCCCGGGACUGCUUUUGAAACUGCGGAGCUAGAGUGCAGGAGAGGUAAGCGGAAUUCCUAGUGUAGCGGUGAAAUGCGUAGAUAUUAGGAAGAACACCGGUGGCGAAGGCGGCUUACUGAACUGAGACUGACGCUGAGGCUCGAAAGCGUGGGGAGCAAAC
rnacentral:rRNA from 1 species